UCAAAUGGGUGUGCUAGGGGGUUGAAAUGCCUUGUUACAUGACCCUCGGUAUCAGAUUAUCAUGUUAUAGAGAGCUUUAGGUGAACAAAACAGUGUCGUGCUGGGAGACUCGAUUGAGGGGCCUCAUGGACAGCCCUAAUCUGUUAGUGGCACGGGCAAAUUAUAUUUGUAGUGGCUGCUGUGGUGGUUUGUGGCGUAGUUAUGAAAUCGGAAGGAAAUCAUUGCACCAGUUACGUGUUUUCCGCUGCCUAGAGAAUGUUACGUAUAAUGAUUUGAGUCCUAGUUGAGCAUUCAGUGUUUUUGUCUUUUUUCGUUUGUUAAGAAUUCGCAUAAGAAGGGAAACAUAGCCAUAGUUACACAAUUUUCCACUGCCUUACAAUAAUUUAAAUCCAGGUUGAGCAUUCGGCGUUUUUAUCUCUUUCCGUUUGUUGAAAAUUUGCAUAAGUGAGGUUAAGUUUUGGUUACGUAAUGAAGAAACGUUGAUUUUCCCGUUUGUUAUAAAGUCGCGUAAGUGCUCUUGAGUUUUGGGUACGUAACUGUUACAAAGUCGCAUAAGUGAAGUCCAUUUUUGGUUACGUAAUGAAGAGAAUUUUUCUUUUCCCGCUUGUUAUAAAGUCGCGUAAGUGCUGUUGAGUUUUGGGUACGUAACUAGGAGAAAUAUGUUGCUUCUCUCAUCUGUUACAAAGUCGCAUAUGUGAAGUCCAGUUUUUGGUUACGUAAUGGAGAGAAUUUUCUUUUCCCGCUGUUAUAAAAUUGCGUACGUGCUAUUGAGUUUUGGGUAUGUAACUAGGAGACAUGUUGCUUCUCUUGUCUGUUACAAAGUCGCGUAAGUGAAGUCCAGUUUUCAUUACGUAACGGAGAGAAUUUUUCUUUUCCCGCUUGUUAUAAAGUCGCGUAAGUGCUGUUGAGUUUUGGGUACGUAACUAGGAGAAAUAUGUUGCUUUUCUCGCCUGUUACAAAGUCGCAUAUGUGAAGUCCAGUUUUGGUUACGUAAUGGAGAGAAUUUUGCUUUUCCCGCUUGUUAUAAAGUCGCGUAAGUGCUAUUGAGUUUUGGGUACGUAACUAGGAGAAAUAUGUUGCUUCUCUCGUCUGUUACAAAGUCGCAGAAGUGAAGUCCAGUUUUGGUUACGUAAUGAAGAGAAUUUUGCUUUUCCUGCAUGUUACAAAGUUGCGUAAGUGAUGAUAAAUUUUGGUUACGUAACGAGAAGAAAUAUGUUGGUGUUUUCAUUUGGUAAAAAGUCGCGUCAGUGGAAUUAAAUUUUGGUUACGUAGUGAGAAGAAAUAUGCUUGUGUUUUCAUUGGGUAAAAAUCGCAUCAUAGGAAUUAAAUUUUGGUUACAUAAUGAGAAGAAAUAUGUUGAUGUUUUCAUUGGGUAAAAAUCGCAUCAGUGGAAUUAAAUUUUGGUUACGUAAUGAGAAGAAAUAUGUUGGUGCUUAUGUUGUUUAAAAAGUUGCGUAAGAGAGAUUAAGUUUUGGUUACGUAAUGAGAAGAAAUACGUUGGUGUUUCCAUUGGGUAAAAAGUCGCAUCAGUGGAAUUGAAUUUUGGUUACGUAAUGAGAAGAAAUAUAUUGGUGUUUUCAUUGGUUAAAAAGUCGCAUCUGUGGAAUUAAAUUUUGGUUACGUAAUGAGAAGAAAUAUAUUUGUGUUUUCAUUGGUUAAAUACUCGCAUCUGUGGAAUUAAAUUUUGGUUACGUAAUGAGAAGAAAUAUAUUGGUGUUUUCAUUGGUUAAAAAGUCGCAUCUGCGGAAUUAAAUUUUGGUUACGUAAUGAGAAGAAAUAUAUUGGUGUUUUCAUUGGUUAAAAAGUCGCAUCUGUGGAAUUAAAUUUUGGUUACGAAAUGAGAAGAAAUAUAUUGGUUUUCAUUGGUUAAAAAGUCCCAUCUGUGGAAUUAAAUUUUGGUUAUGUAAUGAGAAGAAAUACGUUGGGUGUUUUCAUUGGUUAAAAAGUCGCAUCUGUGGAAUUAAAUUUUGGUUACGUAAUGAGAAGAAAUAUGUUUGUAUUUCCAUCGGUUUAAAAACUGCAUCAGUGGAAUUAGAUUUUGGUUUCGUAAUGAGAAGAAAUAUGUUGGUGCUUACGUUCCUUAAAAAGUUGCGUAAGAGAGAUUAAAUUUUGGUUACGUAACGAGAAGAAAUGUGUUUUUUUCAUUGGGUAAAAAUCGCGUCAGUGGAAUUAAAUUUUGGUUACAUAAUGAAAAUAAAUAUGUUGGUGUUUUCAAUGGUUAAAAAUCGCGUCAGUGGAAUUAGAUUUUGGCUAUGUAACGAAAAGAAAUAUGUUGGCGUUUCCAUUGGGUAAAAAGUUGCAUCGGUGGAAUUAAAUUUUGGUUACGUAACAAGAAGAAAAAUGUUGGUGCUUACGUUGCUUAAAAAGUUGCGUAAGAGAUUACGUUUUGUUUACGUAAUGAGAAGAAAUGUGUUGGUGUUUCCAUUGGGUAAAUAUCGCAUCAGUGGAAUUAAAUUUUGGUUACGUAACGAGAAGAAAUAUGUUGGUGCUUACGUUGCUUAAAAAGUUGCGUAAGAGAGAUUAAGUUUUGGUUACGUAACGAAAAGAAAUAUGUUUGUGCUUACGUUGGGUAAAUAUCGCAUCAGUGGAAUUAAAUUUUGGUUACGAAAUAAGAAAAAAUAUGUUGGUGCUUACAUUGCUUAAAAAGUUGUGUAAGAGAGAUGAAGUUUUGAUUAUGUAACGAGAAGAUAAAUGUCGGUAUGAAUGUCCUUUCUAUGCCUAUAAAAGAAUCAAGUUAUGGGAUUUGAGUCGUAGUAUUCAGAAUGGGAUGUGUGAUUUAUGUGCGAGUGAAAAAAAUUAAUGUAAGAGAAUUUGAUCGAUAAUUAUGCCGUUAGUACGUGUUACCUAUACUGUGUCUUGAGACGUAAAAAAAUCAAGUCAUAGGUACGAAUUCAGGAUGGGACAUGUGAUAAUCUGUGGAGGUAAAAAAAAAAAUGUAGUAAGAGAAUUUGAUGGUUAGUUAUGAUGCGAGGACUUUUUACUUUGUUUCUCGAUAUGUAAAAGAAAUGUGAAGUAUGAGAAUUCGACCCAUAGUUAGGAAUUCAGAACGGAAGGAUGUUUUUAUUUCUGUGUGUGAUCUGUGUAUGGAAAAAUUUAUCAUAGCUUCGUUACCAGAGCAUGAGUUACGUAUAUUUUUGAGGUAUAGAAGAAAUGUUAAGUACGAUAACCUGAGCCAUAGUUAGGAAUUCAGAAUGAGGGGUGUGUGUGUGUUUAUUUCUGUGUGUGAUCAAUGGAUGGAAAAAUUUAUCAUAGCUUCGUUACCAGAGCAUGAGUUACGCAUAUUUUUGAGGUAUAGAAGAAAUGUUAAGUACGAUAACCUGAGCCAUAGUUAGAAAUUCAGAAUGAGGGGUGUGUGUGUGUUUAUUUCUGUGUGUGAUCUGUGGAUGGAAAAAUUUAUCAUAGUUACGUUACCAGAGAGUUAGUUCCAUCUCUUCUAUGAACGUAAAAAGAUAUGUGAGGUAUGAGAAUUUGACCCAUAGUUAGGAAUUCAGAACGGGAGGGAAGAUGUCUUUAUUUCUGUGUGUGAUCAAUGGAUGGGAAAAUUUAUCAUAGUUCCAUUACAAGAGCAUGAGUUACGUAUAUUUUUGAGGUAUAGAAGAAGUGUUAAGUACGAUAGCCUGAGCCAUAGUUACGAAUAGAAUGGGGUGUGUGUCUAUUGUGAGUGAUCUGUGGAUGGAAAAAAUUAACAUAGCUACAGUACCAGAGAGUUAGUUCCAUCUCUUCUAUGAACGUAAAAGGAAAGUGAAGUAUGAGAAUUCGACCCAUAGUUAGGAAUUCAGAAUGGGAGGAUGUUUUUACCCUUUGUUUCUGAUACAUGGAUGAAGAAAAAUGAUCACAGUUGCAUUACCAGAGUUUGCUGCAUCAUUUCUCGAGACUCAAAAGAAAUGUAAAUAUAUAAGAAUUUGACCCAUAGUUGCAUUACCAGAGUUUGCUUCAUCAUUUCUCGAGACUCAAAAGAAGUGUAAAGUAUAUAAGAAUUUGACCCAUAGUUGCAUUACCAGAGUUUGCUACAUCAUUUCUCGAGACUCAAAAGAAAUGUAAAGUAUAUAAGAAUUUGACCCAUAGUUGCAUUACCAGAGUUUGCUGCAUCAUUUCUCGAGACUCAAAAGAAAUGUAAAGUAUAUAAGAAUUUGACCCAUAGUUGCAUUACCAGAGUUUGCUUCAUCAUUUCUCGAGACUCAAAAGAAAUGUAAAGUAUAUAAGAAUUUGACCCAUAGUUGCAAAUUCAGAAUAGGGGUGUGUUUUUAUAUAUAUGUAUCUAAUCUAUGGAUGAAAAUUUGUCAUAUCUACAAUACCAGAGAGUUAGUUCCAGCUCUUCUAUGAACGCAAAAAGAAUGUGAUGUUUAAGAAUUUGACACAUAGUUAGGAAUUCAGAAUGAGGUGUGUUUUUACAAUCUCGUCCUAUCCGUUGAUGCCAAAAUUUGAGUCACGGUUACGUUAUCCGAAUGUCUUAGUUUCGUCUUUCUCGUGGGCGCGUGGAAUGUCGUACGAUGUGUUGAGUUCGUUACGUAUUGAGAGCGAGGUGUGCCGUCAUAUUUACGUCAUGUGGUGGUGGAAAAGAGAAAGGGAUGUCAGAGUAGUCUUAUAGUGUUAUGAAAGUGUUGCAGGUGUGUGAACGUAGAGGAAAGAGAGGGAAUAGAUAUGAUGUCAGGAUGGGAGGAAAGGAAGGAAGGAAGAGUGAUGUCAGGAUAGGAGGGAAGGAAGGAAGGAAGAUGUCAGAAUGGGAGGAAAGGAAGGAAGGAAGAGUGAUGUCAGGAUAGGAGGAAAGGAAGGAAGGAAGAUGUCAGAAUGGGAGGAAAGAAAAAUGACAUCAGAAGAGUGUUACGAGUCUUAUUACUAAAAUGUGUCGCGGAGUUUGAAUGUGAGGGGAUGAAAAAGGGUGACAUCAGAAUAGUGUUGCAGUGUUAUAAGUGUGUUGCAGAAUGUGAAUGUGGAGGAGGAAAAAGGAAAAGUGAAGUCAGAUUAGUGUUGCAGUGUUAUCAGUGUGUUGCAGAAUGUGAAUGUUGACGAGGA